rnacentral:rRNA from 1 species
UACGUAGGGUGCGAGCGUUGUCCGGAAUUAUUGGGCGUAAAGAGCUCGUAGGCGGUGUGUCACGUCGUUCGUGAAAACCUGCAGCUUAACUGUGGGCGUGCGGUCGAUACGGGCAUCACUGGAGUUCGGCAGGGGAGAUCGGAAUUCCUGGUGUAGCGGUGAAAUGCGCAGAUAUCAGGAGGAACACCGGUGGCGAAGGCGGAUCUCUGGGCCAUUACUGACGCUGAGGAGCGAAAGCGUGGGGAGCGAACAGG